GACGAACGCUAGCGGCAGGCCUAAUACAUGCAAGUCGGACGGGAUUUGGGAGCUUGCUCCUGAUGAGAGUGGCGCACGGGUGCGUAACACGUAUGUAACCUCCCUUAACCAGGGGGAUAGCCUCUCGAAAGGGAGCUUAACACCGUAUAAAAUAAUGAACUGGCAGCUGUUUAUUAUCAAAUAUUUCUAGGGUUAAGAUGGGCAUGCGGAACAUUAGCUAGUUGGUAAGGUAAUGGCUUACCAAGGCUACGAUGUUUAGUGGAUCUGAGAGGAUGGCCCCCCACACUGGUACUGAGAAACGGACCAGACUCCUACGGGAGGAAGCAGUAAGGAAUAUUGGUCAAUGGGCGGAAGCCUGAACCAGCCAUGCCGCGUGCAGGAAGACGGCCCUAUGGGUUGUAAACUGCUUUUGUACCGGAAUAAACCUUUGGUCGUGACCGAAGCUGAAUGUACGGUAAGAAUAGGGAUCGGCUAACUCCGUGCCAGCAGCCGCGGUAA
rnacentral:rRNA from 1 species